AUCGGCCAUGCCUCUAUAUAAACAGCAGAAGGAACCAGCAAAGUAGUACAAGUCUAAACCAAACGGACAUAGGAGAAGAGAACACUAAACAAUUUCAUUAUGGCUCUAAUCCGGAUCAACACUGGUGUUCUGUGCUUGAUGGCACUUUUGAUGGUUUCAACCACUUUGUUGUCGAGUGAAGCAUCAGGGAGGAAGAUAGGCAAGGAAGCUAACAUUGGCGUCGAGGGGCACCGUGAACCCUACACUCCAUGUACGGAUCCUUCAUUUUGUAAUGAUAUCUGCAACAGAGAUGGUUACGGAGGUGGGACCUGCCGUCAUGGUCACUGCGAAUGCAUCAGAUAAAUGUAGCAAGAAAAUGACCAAGAAUAAUGUUUGGAAAUAAAGAUUCACUUGGGAGCAUUAUGAAUUGUUUUUCUAGCUGGAAUAAUUUAAUUGAACAUUUUUAUUUUCC